CCGAAUUUGGGAUAACGGUUCCAACGAGCCGCUAAUACCGGAUAGGUUAUCCUGGUCGCAUGGCCGGGUUAAGAAAGUUGCAAUUGCAACGUUCGGGGAUGAGUUCGCGGCCCAUUAGCUAGUUGGCGGGGUAAUGGCCCACCAAGGCAACGAUGGGUAGCCGGCCUGAGAGGGUGAUCGGCCACAUUGGGACUGAGAUACGGCCCAGACUCCUACGGGAGGCAGCAGUAGGGAAUUUUGCGCAAUGGACGAAAGUCUGACGCAGCAAUACCGUGUGAGGGAUGAAGCAUUUCGGUGUGUAAACCUCUGUCGAUGACGAAUAAAGCAUUUGGGAGUGGAAAGCCCAGGUGUUGAAGGUAGUCAGAAAGGAAGCACCGGCUAACUCUGUGCCAGCAGCCGCGGUAAUACAGGGGGUGCAAGCGUUGUUCGGAAUUACUGGGCGUAAAGGGAGCGUAGGCGGGAUUGCAAGACAGGGGUUAAAUCUCCGGGCUCAACCUGGAACUUGCCUUUGUGACUGCAGUCCUUGAAUAUGGUAGAGGUCAGUGGAAUUUCCGGUGUAGCGGUGGAAUGCGUAGAGAUCGGAAAGAACACCAGAGGCGAACGCGACUGACUGGACCAAUAUUGACGCUGAGGCUCGAAAGCGGUGGGGAGCAAACAGGAUUAGAUACCCUGGUAGUCCAUGCUGUAAACGAUGAACACUAGAUGUCGGGAGGGGUUCCUUCCGGUGUCGUCGCUAACGCAGUAAGUGUUCCGCCUGGGGAGUACGUUCGCAAGGAUGAAACUCAAAGGAAUUGACGGGGGCCCGCACAAGCGGUGGAGCAUGUGGUUUAAUUCGAUGCAACGCGAAGAACCUUACCUGGGCUUGACAUGGGAACGACCGCACGAGAGAUCGUGUUUUCUCUUCGGAGACGUUCCGCACAGGUGCUGCAUGGCUGUCGUCAGCUCGUGUUGUGAGAUGUUCGGUUAAGUCCGGCAACGAGCGCAACCCCUGUCUUUAGUUGCUAACGGGUCAUGCCGAGCACUCUAAAGAGACUGCCCGGGUUAACCGGGAGGAAGGUGGGGAUGACGUCAAGUCCUCAUGGCCCUUACGCCCAGGGCUACACACGUGCUACAAUGGUCGGUACAGUGGGAAGCAAUACCGCAAGGUGGAGCAAAUCCUGAAAGCCGUCCUCAGUUCGGAUUGGAGGCUGCAACUCGCCUCCA
rnacentral:rRNA from 1 species